GCGGGAGCUGGGUGGAGGUCCGGGCACCGGCGCCCCUGUCAGGGGCGGAGCGGGAGAACUCCGGGGGUAUGACAGGUGGUUCAGGUCUGUGGUCGUGCG
rnacentral:tRNA from 1 species